rnacentral:rRNA from 1 species
CCUACGGGAGGCAGCAGUGGGGAAUAUUGGACAAUGGGCGAAAGCCUGAUCCAGCAAUGCCGCGUGAGUGAUGAAGGCCUUAGGGUUGUAAAGCUCUUUUACCCGGGAAGAUAAUGACUGUACCGGGAGAAUAAGCCCCGGCUAACUCCGUGCCAGCAGCCGCGGUAAUACGGAGGGGGCUAGCGUUAUUCGGAAUUACUGGGCGUAAAGCGUACGUAGGCGGUGGUUCAAGUCAGAGGUGAAAGCCCGGAGCUCAACUCCGGAACUGCCUUUGAAACUAGAUCGCUAGAACAUCGGAGAGGUAAGUGGAAUUCCGAGUGUAGAGGUGAAAUUCGUAGAUAUUCGGAAGAACACCAGUGGCGAAGGCGGCUUACUGGACGAUUGUUGACGCUGAGGUACGAAAGCGUGGGGAGCAAACAGGAUUAGAUACCCUGGUAGUCCACGCCGUAAACGAUGAUAACUAGCUGUUGGGCCUCAUAGAGGCUCAGUGGCGCAGCUAACGCAUUAAGUUAUCCGCCUGGGGAGUACGGUCGCAAGAUUAAAACUCAAAGGAUUAGACGGCUGAGAGNGCGACGACGACGACGAGGAGGAG